CUAAGCCCCAAGGCCUAGCAAGGGCCCCGUUCCCAUGCUGAACACGGAAGUUAAGCUCUUCAGCGCCGAUGGUAGUUGGGGCUUUCCCCCUGUGAGAGUAGGACGCCGCCAAGC
rnacentral:rRNA from 1 species